rnacentral:rRNA from 1 species
UACGUAGGGGGCAAGCGUUGUCCGGAUUUACUGGGCGUAAAGGGCGCGUAGGCGGCCUUCUACGUCGAACGUGAAAUCCCCGGGCUCAACCCGGGAACUGCGUCCGAUACUGGAAGGCUUGAAUCCGGGAGAGGGAUGCGGAAUUCCAGGUGUAGCGGUGAAAUGCGUAGAUAUCUGGAGGAACACCGGUGGCGAAGGCGGCAUCCUGGACCGGUAUUGACGCUGAGGCGCGAAAGCCAGGGGAGCAAACGGG